AAUCUCUUAACGAGGAACAAUUGGAGGGCAAGUCUGGUGCCAGCAGCCGCGGUAAUUCCAGCUCCAAUAGCGUAUAUUAAAGUUGUUGCAGUUAAAAAGCUCGUAGUUGAAUUUCGGGAUCAAUUUAUCGGUCGUGCCAAUGGUAUGAACUGGUACAAUUGGUUUCUCCCUUCUGACGAAGCAUGAUGUCAUUAAUUUGGUGUCGUGGGGAAUCAGGACUGUUACUUUGAAAAAAUUAGAGUGUUUAAAGCAAGCAUUAGCUUGAAUACAUUAGCAUGGAAUAAUGAAAUAGGACGUUUGAUCCUAUUUCGUUGGUUUCUAGGAUCGACGUAAUGAUUAAUAGGGAUAGUUGGGGGCAUUAGUAUUCAAUUGUCAGAGGUGAAAUUCUUGGAUUUAUUGAAGACUAACUACUGCGAAAGCAUUUGCCAAGGAUGUUUUCAUUAAUCAAGAACGAAAGUUAGGGGAUCGAAGACGAUCAGAUACCGUCGUAGUCUUAACCAUAAACUAUGCCGACUAGGGAUCGGAUGAUGUUAAUUUUUUAAUGACUCAUUCGGCGCCUUACGGGAAACCAAAGUGUUUGGGUUCCGGGGGGAGUAUGGUCGCAAGGCUGAAACUUAAAGGAAUUGACGGAAGGGCACCACCAGGGGUGGAGCCUGCGGCUUAAUUUGACCCAACACGGGGAAACUCACCAGGUCCAGACAUAGUAAGGAUUGACAGAUUGAGAGCUCUUUCUUGAUUCUAUGGGUGGCGGUGCAUGGCCGUUCUUAGUUGGUGGAGUGAUUUGUCUGGUUAAUUCCGAUAACGAACGAGACCUUAACCUGCUAAAUAGCUAGGCUUAGCAUUGCUAGGUCGUCAGCUUCUUAGAGGGACUAUCGGUGUUUAACCGAUGGAAGUUUGAGGCAAUAACAGGUCUGUGAUGCCCUUAGAUGUUCUGGGCCGCACGCGCGCUACACUGAUGAAGUCAACGAGUUCACUCCCUUUGUCGGAAGACAUGGGUAAUCUUUUGAAACUUCAUCGUGCUGGGGAUAGAGCAUUGCAAUUAUUGCUCUUAAACGAGGAAUCCCUAGUAAGUACAAGUCAUCAGCUUGUGCUGAUUACGUCCCUGCCCUUUGUACACACCGCCCGUCGCUACUACCGAUUGAAUGGCUUAGUGAGGACUUCGGAUUGAGCUUCGGAAGCUGUAAAAGGCAUCCGAUUUUUAAAAAGUUGUUCAAACUUGGUCAUUUAGAGGAAGUAAAAGUC
rnacentral:rRNA from 1 species